CAGACAUAUAGAGAAAGAACAACGGAGAAAGAGGGAGUCACUGUCUGAAAAUUCUUUACUAAAAAGACCACUUAUUUCUCCUUGGUGUGACAAACUACAGCUGGUUCAUGAUUUCUCCAAGAGAAUCCGUAAACAGGGCUGAUGUACUCAGGCUGGGAGCAUAGUGGGUGACGUGAGCUGGGAUGUAUCGCUGUGCGCAGCUACAGAGAGAUGUACUUGCUGCUACAUCCUGCCUUGGCAAUAUCUACUACAGCUCUGAGCCCUUCUCCUAGCUUGCAUGACUCAGCUGUAAUUACUCUGAAUUUUGAUACGGAGGCUUUGGCACAUGCAUCACCAUGACUUAACAGGUAGCUAGAACCUCUAUGGGGAUCAUCUAUCCGUAACAUAAUAUGGAAUAUGAGCAUAACAUGAUGAACAAUUUUCAAAACCCUUAAUGAUAUGAUACAAAGGCCAACUUCAAGACUAUAAGCGCCAACUUCACAUACAGUAAGAUGGGUAAUAGUGGAAAAUCAUGUCAAAAUUCAUCUAAUAAACUAGCCAUUUUUCAGUUUUUCUCUGUUCCC
rnacentral:lncRNA from 1 species